rnacentral:rRNA from 1 species
UACGUAGGGGGCGAGCGUUGUCCGGAGUUACUGGGCGUAAAGGGCGUGCAGGCGGUGCGGUAAGUUUAGAGUGACAGUCUUCGGCUUAACUGGGGAAGGCCUCUGAAAACUGCCGGACUUGAGGGCCAGAGAGGGACAUAGAAUUCCGGGUGGAGUGGUGAAAUGCGUAGAUAUCCGGAGGAAUACCAAAGGCGAAGGCAGUGUCCUGGCUGGCAUCUGACGCUGAGGCGCGAAAGCUAGGGGAGCGAACAGG